rnacentral:rRNA from 1 species
GAUGAACGCUGGCGGCGAGCCUAAUACAUGCAAGUAGAACGCUGAAGGAGGAGCUUGCUCUUCUGGGUGAGUUGCGAACGGGUGAGUAACGCGUAGGUAACCUGCCUGGUAGCGGGGGAUAACUAUUGGAAACGAUAGCUAAUACCGCAUGACAACAGUUAUUGCAUGAUAACUGUUUAAAAGGGGAACCUGCUCCACUACCAGAUGGACCUGCGUUGUAUUAGCUAGUUGGUGAGGUAACGGCUCACCAAGGCGACGAUACAUAGACGACCUGAGAGGGUGAUCGGCCAAGCUGGGCUUGAGACACGGCCCAGACUCCUACGGGAGGCAGCAGUAGGGAAUCUUCGGCAAUGGACGGAAUUCUGACCGAGCAACGCCGCGUGAGUGAAGAAGGUUGUCGGAUCGUAAAGCUCUGUUGUACGAGAAGAACGAGUGUGAGAGUGGCAAGUUCACACUGUGACGGUAGCUUACCAGAAAGGGACGGCUAACUCCGUG